AUUCCGUGGUGAGGGCAUCUACAAAGAAACUCCUGGAAUCUUUCCCACACCUCGUAUAGAGACUCAUCAUCCAUUUGUUGAAAAGUAGUGAUCUCAUUCUGCAACU
rfam:Gossypium hirsutum cultivar TM-1 chromosome 11, whole genome shotgun sequence